GCCGGUUCCCAGGCCUGGCCAUUGGCUGCCGGAGAUGUUCAGCCCGCCUCGCCCCUUCCGGUCCUGGAUCUAGAGGGAGAAGUCGGGGAUUCUGCAGAAUUCACAUUCUCUGAAUGCAGGCGACCAAACACGAUUCGUCAGGCUCCCACCAGGCCUUGGUGCUUCUAUGUCUGGCGCUCUCGCUUCUUCCUUGGGGAAGAAGGAAUGCUUCACUCAGGAGUCUCAAGUAGAAACGGAACAGAAGGCAGCCUCUUUCCUGUUUCUGAAACCGCUUACCUGUGAGUGUGAACUGUUCUCUGCAUCAGAAAGAGCCUUCUCGUGCCCCCAGCUUGACGCCCUGGCCACGAUGUUGUUAACAUUCAUUAUUUGGACCCUGGGAUGAAGAUUACAAGGAAUGGGAGUGGGGCGCAGGAGGGGUGGUGCUGUAGAGAUGGCUCAAUGGUUAAUUGCACUCAUUGCUCUUACAAAGGCCCUGGCUUUAUUUCCUAGCACCCACAUGGUGGUUCACACCUAUGCAUAAUUCCAGGUCUAGGGCAUCUCUCGCCCUCUACUGACCUUCAAGAGCACUAAGAAUGCACAUGGUGCAUAUACAGCACACACGUGCAGGCAAAACAUGCACACACAUCAAAAUAAAUUUUUAAAAAGAAUGAGGGUGAUCUCCA
rnacentral:lncRNA from 1 species